rnacentral:rRNA from 1 species
GACGAACGCUGGCGGCGUGCUUAACACAUGCAAGUCGAACGGAAAGGCCCUGCUUUUGUGGGGUGCUCGAGUGGCGAACGGGUGAGUAACACGUGAGUAACCUGCCCUUGACUUUGGGAUAACUCCAGGAAACUGGGGCUAAUACCGGAUAGGAGCUCCUGCUGCAUGGUGGGGGUUGGAAAGUUUCGGCGGUUGGGGAUGGACUCGCGGCUUAUCAGCUUGCUGGUGGGGGAGUGGCUUACCAAGGCUUUGACGGGUAGCCGGCCUGAGAGGGUGACCGGCCACAAUGGGACUGAGAGACGGCCCAGACUCCUACGGGAGACAGCAGUGGGGAAUAUUGCACAGUGGGCGGAAGCCGGAUGCAGCAGCGCCGCGUGCGGGAUGACGGCCUUCGGGGUGUAAACCGCUUUCGCCUGUGACGAAGCGGGAGUGACGGUAAUGGGUAAAGAAGCACCGGCUAACUACGUG